rnacentral:rRNA from 1 species
AGCAGCCGCGGUAAUUCCAGCUCCAAUAGCGUAUAUUAAAGUUGUUGCAGUUAAAAAGCUCGUAGUUGAAUUUCGGGGUUAGUAGGUUGGUCAUGCCUCUGGUAUGUACUGGUCUCACUGAUUCCUCCUUCCUGAUGAACCUUAAUGCCAUUAAUUUGGUGUUUUGGGGAAUUUGGACUGUUACUUUGAAAAAAUUAGAGUGUUUAAAGCAAGCUAACGCUUGAAUACAUUAGCAUGGAAUAAUGAAAUAGGACGUUCGAUCCUAUUUUGUUGGUUUCUAGGAUUGACGUAAUGAUUAAUAGGGAUAGUUGGGGGCAUUAGUAUUCAAUUGUCAGAGGUGAAAUUCUUGGAUUUAUGGAGACUAACUACUGCGAAAGCAUUUGCCAAGGAUGUUUUCAUUAAUCAGUGAACGAAAGUUAGGGAUUCGAAGACGAUCAGAUACCGUCGUAGUCUUAACCAUAAACUAUGCCGACUAGGGAUCGGGCGUAUGUUAUCUUUUUGACUCGUCUCGGCACCUUAC